UAGGAAGCUUCUUGCAGGACAUCCCCAUGUCCUGCAGCCCCUUGAGAUCACUGCGUGGGGCUUCACACCAUCACAACACUACACCCAGCCAGCUGCGGGGGGUUCCCAGCCCUUCUACCCCUGCAAAAGCAGGGGUGCGAGGGGCAGGAGUAUCCCUGCUCACACAGCUCCCAUGCCUCCUGUUCCCCGGGGGGCACCGGGGCGUUGGGAUCACAUCCAGCUGCUUUCAGGCUUCCCAAUAGGAUGUUCUAUUAGUGCAACUGUCAGCGAAACCAGAACUGAGCCUCUGCACUUUUGGCAUAAGCUUCCUCCCUGGUUCACCCAAUGAAGGGGAUCGCGUUGGGUCUGGAGCCCGGGACAACCUCUGGCAUGCAGGGUUGUGUGCUCAGGGCUCUUUCCCAGAUCUGUUUUCUCAGGCAGAAAGUCUCUGCUUUCUGUCACAAAGCAAUAGGUUUUUCUAGAGAGAUUUAAAUGGGACUUCCCAGCUCUGGUACCUGCAGGCAAGCCAACGUUCCUUUGAGUACCUUUGUAACUCUAGCUCUGGGCUCUCCUCUUUCAGAAAGGGAUGUGAGGCCAGGUCUGGCUCCAAAUAACCACCAAGGGUUUGAGUGUGGUGGUGCCCAUGUGUCCAGGGAGCCUGGAGGUGCCCACGUGCAGCAGGCAGGCAGUCUGGGUCUCUGGGAGGUGUGUUCCACCCUCCUUUGGUUCCCAUCCCGUAACUGUUACUGCCACCGGGUCCCCAGGGGUGUCUGAGCUCACAAAGUCACAUUUGGUGACAGCCAGACACCAACGGGAGACCAAGGAGCCCUCCUGGAGGAGAAGGUGCCCAUGGUGGCACGUGGGUUCCCUUCCAGUGGCCAAAGGGAACAAAUGUGCCCAGGCAGAGCUCCACCACCGGUGCCAAAAUGCUGCACAACCCCAGAUGUGUCUAUGCAGUCUCUUUCCACGCAGUGGAGUCCCUGCAGAGCCCGGCCCAGGGCUAGGUCUCCUCCAAGGUGUCUUUGUUUGCACUCAUUCGGACCUGGUAAAUGCUGUGAGCUGAGAGGCGGCCCGUCCGGACUCUCUCUUGGCCUUCGCCUUGCACUGGGCAGUACGGUUGUGAGGGUUUCCUCAUCCGAAAUAAAUGCACGUAGUCACCCGUCUCCGCGUCUCUUCUCCAGCAGAUUAUAAAGACCCCAAAACCCAGCUCCCCAAUGAAGGGACGUCAGGUUGGGCCGGCUGGCGCCCCGAGCAAGCCUGUUGUCUGAUCUCACCAGCAAUAAAAGCCCCGCAGGGGAGCGGCCAGAGCUUUCCAGGCUCUGUGUGUGUGUAGGAUCUCUGCACCAGACCCUUUGUCCAACGUUUUGGACCUGCCCGACUGUAAAUGCAAUCCCAGCCUUGUGCUUUCUCUCCUCUGUUUGUUUCUUGAAGCCUCGGUCUCUCUCUCUGCUCUUACUGUGAAUUCAAACCAGAAGUGUUCUGAACUCGACUCUGUUACUGUUCGUUCUGCGUUGACUGUUGCUGGUUCUCUGAACUGCGUUUAAUGAGACUUUGAAAAAAAAAAGGAAAAAAAAAAAGAAAAGAAAAAA